CUAUCUUCAGCUUCAGUGAGAAAAUCGUUUAUCCGAACGGAGCAGAGAUGUUCGAUUCUACGCCCCUUCACUGCCCUUUCACCACGAUUUGCCCGUUGCUGCAACACAGUUGCCAUUACAACUCUUCAAUUUCCACAAAAUUCCGCCCCCCCCACCUCAACUUGUCUCUUAUCCAGGCCUCUGGACCAAUGGGCUUUCCUGUUUUUGCGGUGAAGAGGUUGGGGAAAGGUGGCAUUGCCCUCACUGAGCCAAGUGAUUCCGACAUUGGCUUUGAUGAAUUUUUCGAUGAGGGUGAGGAUAAUUUUCAGGACGAGGAUGAUAUUCUUUUGCCGUUAAAGAACACGAAAGAGUGGCAUGCGGCGAGGCCUCGUGGAUUUGGAGAAGGGAAGGUGUAUGAUACUUCGAUUGAAGACAACUUGCUACAAGAAAUGGAGCAGAUUAGGGAAGCUCAAGCUGCUAAUAUCAAUAAGCUCAAGGAUCAAUCUUCUUCUAAUCCCAACUCUAGUAGAAAUGUCGUAGAGAUAGCAGCUCCAGAAAUUGUUAGUACUGGAGUUUGUGUACGCAUUAUCAACCUUCCUAGAAAAAAGAACAUUCACAGAGACCUGGUCGUGGCUUUUAAAGGGUUUCCUGGAAUAAUCAAUAUAACUCCUGCAGUCAUUGGAAACAAAAAGACUAGGGAUCCAGUCUGCAAGGGUUUUGCAUUUGUUGAUUGCAAAUCUGAAGGAGAUGCCUUAAGUUUUCUGCAAGCAUUUUCUGGACGGUAUCUUACGUUUGGAAGGGUUCAGAAGCAAAUAAAAUGUGAAAUAAUGAAUCGACAAACUUCGAGUUCCGCUCGCAAUAGUUCAAUGAGCAGUACCAAUCAUUCUCGACUAAGUAUUCUUGAAGAGGAAGCAGAGCAGUUUGUUGACAUUGACGUGGAUUUAGCCAGUGAAGCCACAAGAACAAAAACUGAGGAUAUCGAAGACGAUUUGGCUUAUGUCAGUGAAUCACAUUCGCAUGAGGAGGAUGAUAAUGGCGUAGAGUCAAGAACAGAGUUCACAAUUCAGUCACCAUCUGAAAAGGAAGUAAAUAAAAUUGAACUAGAAGAAAUUCUUCCUCAAGGAAGAGAGGAAAUUCAUAGGGAAGUUUCACCAAUCAAAAGAAAAACAAAGGUUUCAAAGAAAAAGCAACCGAAGGAAAAAGGAGAGAAGAAAUUAUUAACAGAAAUUCCAGGAUCUGCCAAAAGGUUAAGGAUAAAGGAGAAGGCUGUCUUAACAGACGUGUACUCAAGAUAUGGAAAGAAAUCAGCUUUGGUUUCACAAGAAGGGAACUAAAUCGAGUGGAUGUUAGUUCCCUGAAAUUAAGAACUAAAAGUCCCUAAUUUUCUAAAAGGUUCCCAUUCAACCUCAACCGUUAUUGCUAGGAGAAUAAGGAGGUAGCCAAGGGGUGGUGUUCGUGACUCACUAGAGAAACAUCAAUUUGAGGUGUUGCUCUAGCUCUCCCUCCCCUCUCUGCUCAUGCAUUAUUUUAUAACGAUCGUGCCCUCUAAUCGCUCCUCGGUGAUUCUUUAUUUGAACGGCGUUUGAUCAUCCAUGGUGAAUACUCGCAGAGAAGGAAUGAGGGUAGAACUUAUUUUUGAAAGCCCGUCUGAAUUCAUCCCACGUGGUGAGGCCUUCUUCGCCUGCCCUUGCUGUGUGGAGAAUCCACCAAUCAUGUGCUCCAUGUUGCAACAAGUGCGUUGCUAAUUUCACUUUCCUUUCUUCACGGCAGUCCAUCACCCCAAAACAUUUUUCUAUCAGACUUAACCACUUCUCUCUGUCAGUCGAGUUAGUGGUUCCUGCAAAGGUCAUUGCCCCCAACGCCUUUAGCCUCUCGAUGCUGAAUUUUUGUCUAACUUCUAAGGGAGACGAUCAAACAUCUCUUCCUCAGCUCUUCUCCCCACUGAAUCGUGUGGGUUAUUAGACACCUCGCCUUGCACUUGUGCUCUAUUGGCGCUCCAAGUAGCUGGAACAUUUGUUGCCACUUGUCUAACUCGUCUUGACCUUCCUCGGGGUGCUAUAGUUCCUAUAUCACAUUAAUACAUUAGACGUUCUUAUCAAUACAUGACACCAUAUGCAUGACUC